GUCAGCGUGGGACACGUUGGCUCUAGGAGGCGUUGGUAGCCUGGGAGUCUCUAGGGCAACACCAGAUGCGAAUAGUGCUUUGUCCUUAAAUCCCUCACAUAAUUUAAAUUCUCCCUCUCGGGUCGGAGCGACAAGCUCACUAUUGGGUGGCAAGUCUAGCAUUGCCUGGGAAGAAGGCGGGCGCGUGGUCAAGGGGCUCUUUAUCCCGCAGGUCCCUGCAACACAGCAAUGCGCAUGCGUCCUGAGGCAGCGACCAGGCACCCCGAGCUCCUUCACCGUCGAGCAUGCGCAGUUCUCCAUCUCGCCGCAGGCGACAGCUCACUAUUUGGCAAGGGGGAUGGGGCUGGGAUAUGAUGGUGAGGGAGGCUGGAGGCAGGGGGCGCGUUUGUGUUUCCUGAAUGCUUGAGUUCAAUAAGAAAAGCCACAGCUUUUCCGGGAACCACAGAGGAGGCAGAGGCAGGCCAGCCUGAAGAGGACAGUAAGUGCCCAUCUCGUUUGUAAGCGCUUUAAGGAGACUUGGGGUAACUUGGUUUGUCUUCACAUCACUCUCAUCUAUGUACCAUGCUUACUUGGAGCCUCUAUGCCCUUUUGUGGAAUUCUCCAGGCAGCACAGAAUCAAGGAAACACAACAGCACAGCCGUCCCAGCCAGAACACUGCCUCUUGCCAAUUAUGGCUCUUGAACAAACUCUUUGACCUUGGAGCCAGUUUACUUACAUUUCAACCAGAGUACCUGGUUGCAAGCACUUGUGCCAACUCAGGUUCUAGCCACCUGAACUGGAAUUUCUUGAAGAAGUACUAGAGCUCAAGAAAAAGACUUGGAAAUUCGGCUGGGAACCAAGGGCUGGUGGAAGAAGACUCACCCUCAGAAAGUGUGGCAACAAGGUCCAGCUUCAGGACACUGCCACUAAGUGCCACCAUUAGACUCAGCACCACUGCUACUUAGGAUGCAAUCCUCCCUCCAUCUUUGUGUGUUAUGCUGCAAAUUCCAAGCCCCAGGUAGCAGCAUCCAGCUGACCAAUCCGAGGACCCAUCUGAGACCUUGACCACCAAGGGAGCAAUGAGGUCUCGCUGCUGUAGUGUAAGCAGCAUGAUGCACAGGACUCCUGUCGCUAGAUGAUGUCUGUGGCAAGGGACUCACAGGAAGCAGGUCAAAUGCUCUCCUUAUCUCCUUGGUGAAAUGGACCAUGCAUCGUGGGAUAAUACAAAGCAUUGAAUGAUGUAUUUGUUCAAAAGCUCUUGGCAUAUAAAAGGUAUUCUGUCAUUUUA